rnacentral:rRNA from 1 species
UAGUCAUAUGCUUGUCUCAAAGAUUAAGCCAUGCAUGUCUAAGUAUAAACAAGUUUAUACUGUGAAACUGCGCACAGCUCAUUAUAUCAGCAAUAAUUUAUUUGAUGGUUACUUACUACAUGGAUACCCGUAGUAAUUCUAGAGCUAAUACAUGCGUUAAAGUCCCGACUCCUUUCGGGGGGGAGGGAUGUAUUUAUUAGAUAAAAAACCAAUGGCUUUUUCCGGUAAAACGGAGGAGGUCCUCUUUGGUGAUUCAUAAUAACUGUUCGAAUCGCAU